GACGAACGCUGGCGGCGUGCUUAACACAUGCAAGUCGAACGGAAAGGCCCUGCUUGCAGGGUGCUCGAGUGGCGAACGGGUGAGUAACACGUGGGUGAUCUGCCCCUUACUUUGGGAUAAGCCUGUGAAACUGGGUCUAAUACUGGAUAGGACCAUGCUGUAGGUGGUGUGGUGGAAAGAUUAGUUUCGGUAAGGGAUGAGCUCGCGGCCUAUCAGCUUGUUGGUGGGGUAAUGGCCUACCAAGGCGUCGACGGGUAGCCGGCCUGAGAGGGUGGACGGCCACAUUGGGACUGAGAUACGGCCCAGACUCCUACGGGAGGCAGCAGUGGGGAAUAUUGCACAAUGGGCGCAAGCCUGAUGCAGCGACGCCGCGUGGGGGAUGACGGCCUUCGGGUUGUAAACUCCUUUCAGCCAUGACGAAGCCCUUGUGGUGACGGUAGUGGUAGAAGAAGCACCGGCUAACUACGUG
rnacentral:rRNA from 1 species